rnacentral:rRNA from 1 species
UGGGGAAUAUUGGGCAAUGGCCGAAAGGCUGACCCAGCAACGCCGCGUGGUGGAAGAAGCCCUUCGGGGUGUAAACACCUUUUCUGGGGGAAGAUAAUGACGGUACCCCAGGAAUAAGGGACGGCUAACUACGUGCCAGCAGCCGCGGUAAUACGUAGGUCCCGAACGUUGCGCGAAAUUACUGGGCGUAAAGGGUCCGUAGGCGGUCUGGUAAGUGGAAGGUGAAAUCCUACGGCUCAACCGUAGAAUUGCCUUCCAAACUGCUGGACUUGAGGCAGGGAGAGGUCGGCGGAAUUCCCGGUGUA